AGUGUACCUACACACACUUCAGAUCCUUUACCUCACUCAAGGCUGAGCUUGAGAGCGAAAAAGACUUUUAAACAUUUAAUGUCAUGGAAGAGAGUAUUAUCACGCCAUUUCUUCAGACCAGGAAUUUGCAUGUCAGAAUUUGCACCAUUGUGUUUCUUCUAACCUGUGGAGAUGUUACCAAGUCAUAUGAGAGAAAUAUUCUACACCAGAUGAACAGAACUGCUGUUAAGGGGGAAACUGUUAUUUUACACUGCAAUGGAACUCUCUCCAGUGGAAAUAUAGACAUUGGUUGGCGUAAAGACGGGAAUGUUCUUUUUAACUACAGCCCAGUUAAAAACCAAACUGCGACCAACUACACAUCAAGCAGGAUGCAGGUUGAUCCCCGAAAUCCAAGAAAACUACAGAUAUCUGAUGUACAGCUUUCAGAUGCAGGAUUAUACUCAUGUUUUCCAUUAGACAUGCAGUGGAUAUUGACCAUAGAGGGUAAUUCUUUUGGCCAAAAUAGUGUUUUUCUGCCCAUGAUAACUCACUUACUUUCAGAAACUGCUUUAUCCAGGCCAGGGUCAUGGUGAAUCCAGAGCCUAUCCCAGGAACACUGGGCGUGAGACAGUUAAUGCAGAGACGAAGUCACUGACACAAAAAAUGCUACUCUACAUACUUCCCUCAGUUACAGGAGCUGUUGCAAUCUGCCUCAUUAUCUUCUGUGCUGUGUGUAUUCACAGGAAAUGGAAAAGGAAAGUGGCAUCUGAUCACAGAGAUACAGUAGAUGACCGUCAACCACGUGGAAGAAGAAUGAACCACAAUCGGAGCAGCCAGUAUUUUGAGAGAUUUAACUCAGUUUAUGGACAAUUUCAGAUCUGAAGAUUUCUCAAGAAUAUUCCAGGGCACAGAACUGCAAAGGUGAAUAUUUCAUACCUGAUGUUUAUGUGGAACUGACACUGCAUGUCCAGAUUAUCCUGUUUUAUACAUGAUGCUCUUCUGGAAAAUGAUGAUGUGAACAUCAGACAGUCUGCACAGUACACAUUAAGUUGUAAUCCUGAUGAACAAUUACAGAGUCAGCUGAUAUGAAAAUUGACAGUUAUGCCUGUUUCUUUAUUUGUGACCAUUUAGAAGAUUAUCCAUUAGGAUUAUGUUCAGUCAAUAUUAUAUACAUACAUAUAUACACUCACUAUCCACUUUAUUAGGAUAACCUGUAACACCUGCACAUUCAUUCAAUUAUCUAAUCAGCAAAUCAUGGCAGCAGUGCAAUGCAAAUCAUGCAGAUACAGGUCAGGAGCUUCAAGUAAAUUUUCACAUCAAACAUCAGAAUGGGGAAAAAGUGUAAUCUCAGUGACUUUAACUGUGGCAUGGUUGGUGGUACCAGAUGGGCUGGUUAGAGUAUUUCAGAAACUGCUGAUCUCCUGGGAUUUUCACACACAACAGUCUCUAUAGUUUACAAAAAAAAAAAAAAAAACAUUGAGUGAGCAACAGU